GGGGAGAUAGCUCUGUGGGUAGAGCACUUGCCUAGUGUGCCAUAGGCCCUAGGUUCAAUUCCCAGUACCAUCA
rnacentral:tRNA from 1 species